GAAAUGCGAUAAGUAAUGUGAAUUGCAGAAUUCAGUGAAUCAUCGAAUCUUUGAACGCACAUUGCGCCCGCCAGUAUUCUGGCGGGCAUGCCUGUCCGAGCGUCAUUUCAACCAUCAAGCCCCCGGGCUUGUGUUGGGGACCUGCGGCUGCCCGCAGGCCCUAAAAACCAGUGGCGGGCUCGCUGUCACACCGAGCGUAGUAGCAAUCACCUCGCUCAGGGCGUGCUGCGGGUUCCGGCCGUUAAACAGCCUUACAAAACCCAAGGUUGACCUCGGAUCAGGUAGGAAGACCCGCUGAACUUAAGC
rnacentral:misc_RNA from 1 species